rnacentral:rRNA from 1 species
GAUGAACGCUAACGGCAGGCUUAAUACAUGCAAGUCGAGGGACAGCACAGGUAGCAAUACUGGGUGGUAACCGGCAAACGGGUGCGGAACACGUACACAACCUUCCUUUAAGUGGGGGAUAGCCCAGAGAAUUUUGGAUUAAUACCCCGUAAUAUAGUUGAAUGGCAUCGUUUGAUUAUUAUAGCUACGGCGCUUAAUGAUGGGUGUGCGGCUGAUUAGAUAGUUGGCGGGGUAACGGCCCACCAAGUCUACGAUCAGUAGCUGAUGUGAGAGCAUGCUCAGCCAAACGGGCACUGAGACACGGGCCCGACUCCUACGUGAGGCAGCAGUAAGGAAUAUUGGUCAAUGGACGCAAGUCUGAACCAGCCAUGCCGCGUGAAGGAUUAAGGUCUUCUGGAUUGUAAACUUCUUUUAUUUGGGACGAAAAAGGGCCUUUCUAGGUCAACUGACGGUACCAGAUGAAUAAGCACCGGCUAACUCCGUGCCAGCCGCCGCGGUAACAC